AGCUUUGCGCAGUGGCAGUAUCGUAACCAAUGAGGUACAUCCGAGGUGCGAUUAUUGCUAGUUGAAAACUUUAACCAAUACACGCUGGGUCGGCGUGUAAAAGCGUCGGCUACGGCAAUUUUUGUUAGCCCGUUCAAGGG
rnacentral:snRNA from 1 species